AAUAAUUAAACCGCAUAUACGAUACUAUUUAAAACUUGAAAUAACAAAACUCAGCUAAAAGUAAUUUAACAGAGAGAAAAGCCCUUAAGACAGCCAUACUGCGACAAACACAAUCAAAUCUUUCAAGACGAAGCCAUAAUGCAACAAGGAUUAGAAACAUUGUGAGUGAAAGGACAGAAGAAGAAGCAGGAAUUGCGCGUGAAGAGCGCCGCGUUAGUAUGGCUCUACUUCGUACUUCUCAAUCACACUAGCAAAGUGAUGCAGCCCGUGAGACAGCUCGGUUAACAUUGCGAAAUCGUCGAGCAAACCGCAGAGCUCAACAGGGAAACGAUUGUGCUGCCUUAGUGGGAAAAUAAAAUUGCCAUCACUAAAUCCACCACCAGAGAAACUAUAUUCAUUGCUUCGCGGCGAAACACCCGAAUCACGAAAUUUUUUAGCAAGCACUCAAAAGUACAAUGGUUGUUUCCAAAUGACGUCAUUUGAGGCAGAUAUUAUCGAAGAACAAGGAUUUAAUCCGACAUUCAGGAUACAGGGACAGAUUCACCAUCGAAUUGGAUCAUUACAACCUCUAGAGGAUGCACAGCAUUAGUUUUUACAAAUAUACUUCAUGGGCACCAUGUAGGAACAACUUGAUCGACGUCAAGAGAUAAAUGCAGCAGUGAGAAGAGCAAUUCUUCAAGAUCUGCAAUAGCUACUUCACAAACAUCAUGCGUUGGUCAGGCUGUUUAAGAGUGAAUUGGAAUGCAUGCAAACCAUGAUUACAAAGUCAUCAUCAGAGCAGAUAAACGACCAUCUGGAACACAAAAACGCACUUUUAACGCUCCAACAAUAGGUGAAGUUGCAAUCCUGAUUGUUGGUGAAAACUUGGAAACACGC